rnacentral:rRNA from 1 species
AUGAAUAUUGAUAAUGAUGGGACUGAAUAUGAUCCACCUUUACCUAGAAGGCAUUCCCAAAAUUUGGAGUUUUUAGAUCUUGAUGCUAAAAUUGAUAAAAGUGGGAUUGAAGAGAUCAAAACUCUAGAUACUAAUGAACCUACUAUUUUGGAUUUCAAGGGAUUUAAUUAUGAUAAUUGCUCUUUGAUAGAUUGUAUUUCCUUUUUGCAAUCCGUGCUAAAUUCUCCUCAUGCUUAUAGUCAAAAUAAAGCUUUUACCGAACAUAUCGUUGAUGCUUUGAUGCAAUCUUAUGAAGAAAAACUUGAGUUGGAAGUUUCUAUCCCUAGAAAACUUUAUGAUGAGUGGGAACCAACUAUUAAAAUUAAAAUUAAAUAUCAUAAAUGCUAUGCUUUGUGUGAUUUGGGUGCUAGUGUUUCCACGAUUCCAAAAACUUUGUGUGAUUUGUUAGGUUUCCGUGAUUUUGAUGAUUGCUCUCUAAACUUGCACCUUGCAGACUCCACUAUUAAGAAACCUAUGGGAAGAAUUAAUGAUGUUCUUAUUGUUGCAAAUAGGAAUUAUGUUCCCGUAGAUUUUAUCGUUCUUGACAUAGAUUGCAAUCCUUCAUGUCCUAUUAUUCUUGGUAGACCUUUCCUUAGAACGAUUGGUGCAAUUAUUGAUAUGAAGGAAGGAAAUAUUAGAUUCCAAUUUCCAUUAAGGAAAAGCAUGGAACACUUUCCUACAAAUAAAAUUAAAUUACCUUAUGAAUCUAUUAUGAUAUCCACUUAUGGAUUGCCUACCAAAGAUGGCAAUACCUAG